rnacentral:lncRNA from 1 species
CAACUUUGUUCUUGGAUUCAUGAACUAAUUCUUUACCGAAAUCCUCCCUUUUCAUCAAAGCACCCAUCUAACUUUCCAGCUUCUUGCUCUCAAAAACAACCUGAAACGUAGUUGAAUCUACCUUUUCCUUCCCUUUAAACCCUUGGGACAGUUUCUUGGGCCUGGACUGUGCUAAUGAUGAUGCCUUCACCUCAAGAUAAGAAGUAUCUCUUUGAUUGCCACUAACUCAACAACAUUCUCGUCAUUAUUCCUUGUCUUGCCUUCAUAUUUGUGGACUUUGUCAUCCAACACUAUAACUUCU